rnacentral:rRNA from 1 species
AUUGAACGCUGGCGGCAUGCUUUACACAUGCAAGUCGGACGGCAGCGGGGGUGCUUGCACCUGCCGGCGAGUGGCGAACGGGUGAGUAACAUAUUGGAAUGUACCGAGUAGUGGGGGAUAACCAAUCGAAAGAUUGGCUAAUACCGCAUACGUCCUGAGGGGGAAAGCAGGGGAUCUUCGGACCUUGCGCUAUUUGAGCAGCCAAUAUCUGAUUAGCUAGUUGGUGGGGUAAAGGCCCACCAAGACGACGAUCAGUAGCGGGUCUGAGAGGAUGAUCCGCCACACUGGGACUGAGACACGGCCCAGACUCCUACGGGAGGCAGCAGUGGGGAAUUUUGGACAAUGGGGGCAACCCUGAUCCAGCCAUGCCGCGUGUCUGAAGAAGGCCUUCGGGUUGUAAAGGACUUUUGUUAGGGAAGAAAAGGGAAGUGCUAAUACCACUUUUUGCUGACGGUACCUAAAGAAUAAGCACCGGCUAACUACGUGCCAGCAGCCGCGGUAAUACGUAGGGUGCGAGCGUUAAUCGGAAUUACUGGGCGUAAAGCGAGCGCAGACGGUUACUUAAGCAGGAUGUGAAAUCCCCGGGCUCAACCUGGGAACUGCGUUCUGAACUGGGUAGCUAGAGUAUGUCAGAGGGGGGUAGAAUUCCACGUGUAGCAGUGAAAUGCGUAGAGAUGUGGAGGAAUACCGAUGGCGAAGGCAGCCCCCUGGGAUAAUACUGACGUUCAUGCUCGAAAGCGUGGGUAGCAAACAGG